rnacentral:tRNA from 1 species
GCCCCCGGACCAAGAUCGGACAACUUGUAAUGCGUAGGUCGUCGGUUCGAAUCCGACAGGGGGCUCCA